rnacentral:rRNA from 1 species
AAAUUGAAGAGUUUGAUCAUGGCUCAGAUUGAACGCUGGCGGCAGGCCUAACACAUGCAAGUCGAACGGUAACAGGAAGCAGCUUGCUGCUUUGCUGACAAGUGGCGGACGGGUGAGUAAUGUCUGGGAAACUGCCUGAUGGAGGGGGAUAACUACUGGAAACGGUAGCUAAUACCGCAUAACGUCGCAAGACCAAAGAGGGGGACCUUCGGGCCUCUUGCCAUUGGAUGUGCCCAGAUGGGAUUAGCUAGUAGGUGGGGUAACGGCU